AGUAUAUAAAGAAACUAUUACGGAUUACUAGCAAUAUACCAGAGAGUAUAAGUUGUUGUCGUAUAGCCACAUGAUCUCUCAGAGAAAUAAGAUUGGUAAACGAAGUGAAAUGAAAUAUCUAAGUAACUUCAGGAAAAGAAAUCAAAGGAGAUUCUAUGAUUAGUGUGAAUGAAAGUAGAAAAGCCUAAAAAGUUAUUAAGUAAAAUGGAUAUAAGUCUGUUUGAAUAAUUAAAGGGGAACCUUCCUCUAAGGCUAAAUAUGGUAUAUUAAGCGAUAGUGAAGAGUACCGUGAGGGAAACGUAAUGAAAUAGUAGUUUUAUAAGCAGCACAAUAAAGAAUUUUAAAUAAAUAAUGCGUGCGUACCUUUUGUAUAAGAGCAAUAGCUAGGAACGCGGAACGAUUGGCCAACGACGUGCCAUAGAAAGCGAACUGAGAAUAACUGCUUGAGCCGUGUGCGGUGAAAGUCGCAUGCACGGUUCUUAGAGGGGGAAAGUCCGAGAGGACCUACCUAUCUCAAGUGGGUCAGCAAGUUAAUAUUAGAUGUAAGGUGUGCACAAUUUGCCCUAGAUAAAGCGAUUAUCAUAUAAUGAGUGAAUAUCUAAUAUUAGACCCGAAGCCUAGUGAUCUUACCAUGAUCAGGGUUAUAAAAGCCCGAACGGUUUAUUGUUGCAAAAAUAUCCGAUGAAUUGUGGUAUGUAUGUGAAAGACAAAUCUGACUAGGAAAUAGCUGGUUUUCCGCGAAACCUAUCUAAGUAGGUAAUUUAAUUAACAUCAUAGCAGGUACAGAACUGUGAUCUCAGACAACUUUGGUUAUAAACCAAAUUUGUAUAUAUCGGGGGAUCGUGAAGAUUUUACUGGGGGGAAAUUGGACUCGGAAUGGUAAUGAUGAAUGUUAAAUAAUCAGACAUAGUAUGCUAAGGUAGUAUGUCAAAAGGGAAACAGCCCAGAACAAGUGUUAUAGUAAGGUUCCAAAAUUAUUAUUAAGUGAAAUAAAGGUAGUCUUUUCUCUAAUUCGACCAGGAAAUAGGCUUAGAAGCGGCCAUUUUUUGAAGACCGCGUAACAGCGCACUGGUUUAUAGUAACUAGGAUUAUCUCUUAGUUACUUUGAAAAAGGCAUUUAAAAUAUAACGGAUCUAAAAUAAUAUACCGAAACCUUGUCAAUAAAUAAAAAAGUUAUGUUUUUUUAUUUAUUGGGUAGCGGAACUUAGGGUAUAUAUAUGAAUUUUUCUUUUCAAGAAAGAACAAAUACAACCCUAGUGACAAUGCUGAUAUGAGUAACGAUAAAGGUAACAGUAAAGGUUUACCUCGCCUUAAGCUUAUGGUAUUAAUAAAAGUAACGGCCUCUAAGUUAUGCUUUGCCCAAAGGAGGACUGAACGAUGAGAAAAUCUUGUUUAUAGAACAACUUUUGUUAAGUGACAAAAGUUCUGGAAAACCAAUAAACAAAAGAACCGUACCUAGACACCAUCGCAGGUAAGCAAGUAGAGAAUACGAAGGCGUUUGAGUGAACAAUCAUUAAGGAACUCGGCAAAUUAACUACCGUAACUUCGGGAGAAGGAGUGCCGUUCCUCCUGAUUAAUAUCAGGUAAAGAAAAGGAAGCAUAGAAUCGUGUUGUACGACUGUUUAAUUAAAACAAAGCACUUUGCAAAAGAUAAAAAUCAAAGUAUUGAGUGUGAUCUCUGCCCGAUGUCGGCUGGUUAACGGAGAUUUUUAGUUGACUAAGAUAAACUAAACUUUGAAGGAACCCCCGAUUAAUGGCGGCCUUACCUAUGAGGGUCCUAAGGUAGCGGAAUACCUUGGCCGUUAAAUGCGGUCUUGCAUGAAUGACUGAACGAUACAACAGCUGUCUCUAUGAUUGGCUCAGUGAAAUUGAAAUAGCAGUGAAGAUGCUGCUUACCUCUAGUCAGACGAGAAGACCCUUUGCAGCUUUACUGUUGCUAGUUAUUGCAUAUGAUCGGACAAGUUGUAGUGUAUAAGGUAAUCGGUAAGAUAAAAUUGAAACUCCUUUACUUAAGUCUAUCGUAUAGAUGGGGGGGUAACGCCCCCGUCUCUGAUAAACAAUGAUGCUGAAAUUUACUGUAAGUAGUUUUACAAAAACCGCUUUUAAUCGGUAAAUUCAUGUUAUUAGAGAAACUCCCGGCCAGCGUAUGUUAAGUAGGUUUUUAGCAAUCAAUGAAUACAAGACAUAUUGAGGAAAAUGACUAGGUGGCAGUUUAUGCGGGGCACAGAUCCCAUAAAGAGUAACUGGGUGUAUCCAAAAUUAUUUUGUAAAAUCGCCUUAAGUGUAAGGCAUAAUUAAAAUACAUUAUUUUGUAUUUUACAUUAUUUUGUAUUUUAAUUACAGUAUUUUAAUUUAAUUCCCGCAGGGGUUACUGCAGGUGGGGCUUACAUAAAUCAGUUUGUUUACAAAAUGAUAAAGUGUAUGCCCCCCUGGUUUUUUAAAAUUUUUAUAUUACCUCCGGUACUCGGAGGUAAUAUAAAUUUUACCAAGUACUUAUCUAUUAAGUUAGAUAUUUAAUAAGUUUGUAAGUAGGAUUUUAACUAUAUGGAAAAUAGAUGUAAUAAAAUUUAUUAACAAGGGGGGGAAUAGCUCUACCCUUGUAAUAUCUUUUUAGUUGCUUAAUGAAAAAAAAGUGAUGUUUAUUUUUACUUAUCAAGUUUAAUGGCUUAAUCUUGCUUUACUGUCUGACCUACGCGUCUAACAGUCGCGUAAGCGGGGCAUAUGAUCACAAGGUGCUAGAAGGAAAGGUCUUGGAUUAAUGAAUAAAGCUACGCUAGGGAUUAAUUAGAAUGUUAGUCCUCCAGUGUUGAAAAGCAUUGGUAAUAUAACUGGGUGAAUUUCAACAGGCUAAUUGCGCCAGAGAGUACAAAUUGAGUGCGCAGUUUGGCACCUCGAUGUCGGCUUAGCGCAUCCAGAAAAACGCAGGAAUUUUCAAGGGUACGGCUGUUCGUCGUUUAAUGCGCUACACGAGCUGGGUUAAAUACGUCGUGAGACAGUAUGGUUUCUAUCUUCUAGAGGAAAUUAGAGUAAAAUAAGGAUAGCCCCUUCGUACGAAAGGAGUAGGGUAUAUAAACCUCUGGUUUACCUGUUGUUUAUGAACCCCAAUAUUAAGAAUAACAUAGGGAUGUUGCUAUCACUUUAGCAAAAUAAUAGCAUAGGCAGGGCAGGAAAGCUAUGUUUGUAAAAGAUAAGAGCAGAAAGCAUCUACGCUCGAAACUAACUUUAAGAUACUCUUCAAAAUACGUAGUAGACUACUACG
rnacentral:rRNA from 1 species